ensembl:lncRNA
ACUUUAUUCCUUUUUAUGGCUGAAUAGUAUUCCAUUGUAUGGAUAUACCACAUUUUGUUUAUCCACUCAUCAACUGAUGGAUGUUCAGAUUGGUUCCACUUUUUGGCUAUUGUGAGUAAUGCUGCUAUGACCAUUCAUGUAUAAUGUUUGUAGUGUGCGUAAGUUUUCAAUUCUCUUGGCUGAAACUUUGUAGCGACGUCUAUUUUCCAAAGUGUCCACACCAUUUUACAUUCCCACCAGCAUUUUUGUUAUUAUAGCCAUCCUAGUGAAUAUAAAGGCAUAUCUCAUUGACGUUUUGGUUUUCAUUUUCCUAAUGGCUAAUGAUAUUGAGCAUAUUUUCAUGUCCUUUUGGGCAUUUAUAUAUCUUCUCUGGAAGAAUGUCUAUUCAAAUCCUUUGCUCAUCGUACCCAAUGCCUCCACACUGGGAUAUUCUGCCAUAUCCAAAACCCCUUAUGUUAAUAACAGUUCUGAAUUCUGUUCCAAAACUCAAAAGGCAAGAAAGUCUGCAUUUCUUUACUCUCAAAAUCAAGUGAAAUAUGGUUCACACCUCCACAUCCAACGUUAACAAGAAGUCCUCCCAUUCCUCCCCUGGGAUCCUACAAGUAUCCUAGGGAAAUUAUGUAAAAUCCCAAAUGAGCACAUACAUGUUUAUGUGUCACUGCCUUGACACCCAUUGCUGCUUUCAUGGCUGCAUUCAUUCACUCAUUGACUCAGCUCAAGGCAAUCAUUCAUUAAUUCAACAAACAUUUGUCAAGGACUUAAACUACGUGCCAGGCACUAUAACAGACUCUGAGGAGAAUGGGGAAUAAGAUGACGAGCACUGAGAAUCCACCAUCUGCCUAUUGCUGUGGCUUAGCAAGGAGGCAGUCAGCUUCAGGCCCAGGCAGGUAUUUAAUGCCUAGCCUUUCAUCAGUUCCCAUGCCUGCCAAAUGUCCUUCCAUCUCUGGGGUUCUAUGGUCUCCGCCACUCUCAGAACCCACAAACCUUCUCUUUGUCUUCAGAGAACCCAAAUACCAUGAGAGAGUACUCCUUGCCCCUCCUCUACCCCUGAAAGUACCAAAAUCCACACCUCUACCUCUGGGACACUCACUCCCUCAGCGUGUCUGGACCAGAGAAGACAAGUUGGCAACUAGGAUUUCUACGUAUAUGCUUUUGGCUCACACACUUUUUUAAAAAUGGACUUAAAUUAACAUUUUAAAAUUAGAAGUUUUCACUUAAAAUCCAGAUUCCCAUUUGCUUUAAAAAAAUGGAAAGAUCUGAUAACCAGCCCACAAGGUAAUGCCCUUCUAGAAUGAGUGUGCUCACUCUGGUUCUCCAAGUCCUCAUCACUCCCUGUUGCAUUGCCCUGACCCUGUAUCUCGCAUAGAGAAAUGUGUGCUCAUGACCCCAGUCUAUGCUUGAGAGGGCAGAUACUGCUAUGUAUUCACUAAGCCAUUUUCCUUUCCUUCUGGGUACAAAACUAGGCUACAUAUUCCCAGGUUCCGUUGCAGUUAGAUGGGGGCCAUGUGACUGAAUUCUGGAAGAUAGAAUGAGAACAGGAGUGAUGGUCACCCCAGGGAGGUUUAGCCCGUGAAAACCUCCUGUGGAAUCUACUGUUCUCUCUCUCACCCACUUGCUGGAUAUAAAGGACUCCAGGUUUGCAGAGCUGGGCAAAGACUCAAGACAAAACCAGCCUGGGACUGACUGAGCAGAAUAGAGCUCCCCUCUGACUGCAUUGGAUUGUAAGGGUUCUUGUGAAGGUAAAAGACAUGAGACAAGUAAAGUACUUUAGCCCAGAAGCUCUACCAUGACUAAGAACUGUGUGAGCAUGAGAUACUUAUGAAUUCACACAAAAACCAUCAGGAAACUAUGCUCUCGGUCCCUUAAUCUGCUGAACAUUAGAACAGAACAAAACGAGAGGGAUGUCUUCUUUCAUUUCCUCAGGAGAGGAAACUGAGGCCUGAGGAGAAGUGCUUUACCCAAAUUGUCAGCUCAUGACAGGUAAAGAUAUUAUGCCUGAAGAUCUUCAGCAGCUCCACAUGAGGCAUUAGGAACUCUUUACUGAUGCAGACAAUAGACAAACAUCCAUUUUGCAUCUUACCAGAGACAUGAGGUAAGGCGGCACAGACACAACCCAUACUUCAAUAUGGGAAGAGACCCAAG